rnacentral:misc_RNA from 1 species
CUGUUAUAGACUGGACUGUCGGUCAUAUGAGUCGCGAGACUGGCAGUGGACGUGCGUGGGGUUGGUAAUCUCCCAGAAUGUCCCGCUUCAAGUUCCUCCGAAAUAUCCGGCAGCCGCAGCUUCUGUAUAAGGCAAUGUCAGAUCUUCGGCAUCGUAAUAAAUGUCCCUAACGAGCGGUGGACAUCUGUUCAUCAAAGUAUCUACCCCCAGGUAAGAAACCUGUGCGUUAAAAAAAUUAUACGCGUUGAGAAAAAUU